rnacentral:snRNA from 1 species
GGACUUAAUUGUCAGAGCUUGUACACUAAAAUUUGAAUGAUAUAGAGGAGAUUAGCAUAGCCCCCACACAAGAAUGGCAUGCAAAUUCAUGAAGCAUUCCAUAUAAUU